UAUGUACUCCCUCCGUCCGGAAAUACUUGUCGGAGGAAUGGAUGUAUCUAGACGUAUUUUAGUUCUAGAUACAUCUUUUUUAUGCAUUUCUUCGACAAGUAUUUCCGGACGGAGGAAGUAUUUU
rfam:Triticum aestivum genome assembly, contig: Triticum_aestivum_CS42_TGACv1_scaffold_577330_7BL